rnacentral:lncRNA from 1 species
UCUAUUUUAUGUGAUAUGAGUAUUGCAACUCCUGCUUUCCUGUCUUGUCCAUUGGCAUGAAAUAUCUUUUCCCAUCCCCUCACUUUCAAUCCAUAUGUGUCCUUUGCACUGAAGUGAGUUUCUUGUAGAUGGAGACUGAAAGUUUUUUUCUUUUUUAUCCAAUCUGUCACUCUGUGUCUUUUGACUGGAGCAUUCAGUCCAUUGACAUUUAAGGUGAUUAUUGAUAGAUAUGUAUUUAUUGCCAUUUUAAACCUUAUUUUCCAGUUGAUUCUAUGUUUCUCUUUUAUUCAUUUCUUUUUUUGGUUGGAUGGUUUCCAUUUAUUUUAUACCUGAGUACUUUUCUUUUUAGUUUUCGUGAAUGUAAUAUUUGUGGUUGACCCUGUUUUUUAAGUAUAUUGACCCCUUCCUAUAUCUGCUUGCUUUAGCCUUAGAGUCAUAUAGGCUCAGACACGUAAUUAGAAUAAAAAAAAAGAAUCUAUAUUUACUUACUUUCCUUACCCACAUUGUAUGAUUUUGAUGUAUUUUUUUUUUUAUUUUUUAACAUCUUCAUGUUUAGACCUGUAUGCUGGCUUAUUUAAGUGACUGCUUUCCAAUUGUGUUUUCCUCCAUCCUAAUUCUUCUUCUUCUUCUUCUUUUUUUUAAUUUAGAGAAGCCUUUUCAGUAUUUCUUUUAGAAUGGGUUUAGUAUUACUGUACUCUUUUGGCUUUUUUUUUGUUGUUGGAGAAUUUCUUUAUUUACCCUUCUAUUUUAAAUGCUGUUCUUGCUAGACAGAGUAUUCUAGCUUGAAAAUUUUUUCCUUUUGGCACUUUAAAUAUAUCUUGCCACUCCCUUCUGGCCUCUAGUGUUUCUGUAGAGAAAUCAGCUGAUAGCCUUAUGGGGGUUCCCUUAUAAUUAAUGCUUUGCUUUUCUCUUGCUGCCUUUAGAAUCCCCUCUUUAUCUUUCACUUUUGCCAUUUCAUUAUAAUGUCUUGGUGUGGGCCUUUUUGGGUUCAACUUGUUUGAGGCCCUCUGUGCUUCCUGCAUCUUGAUAUCAGUAUCCUUUAGAUUUGGAAAGUUUUCAGCCAUAAUUUCCUCAAAUAUAUAUUCAAUCCUCUUUUCUUUUUCUUUUCCUUCUGGAAUUCCUAAUAUGUGUAGAUUGGCCUGCUUUAUAGUAUCCUAUAGGUCUCUUGUAUUGCUCUCACAUUUUUUCAUUUGGUUUUCUGUCUGCUGUCCUGAUUGGGUGAUUUCUAUUAUUCUGUCUUCCACCUCACUAAUUCAUUCCUCUGCAUUAUUCAUUUUACUCUUUAACUCAGUUUGUAUCUCUGCAAAUGAAUUUUCUAGUUUUUCUUGGCUCCUCCUUAUAUUUUCCAGUUCCUUUCUUAAGGAACCUGCAUUACUAUUCAUAUCCUUUCUCAAUUUCUUCAGUAUUUUCACUACCUCCCUUUUGAACUUAGUGUCUGUCAGACUGCAGAGGUCUGUUUCAUUGACUGCUUUAGGUGAAUUCUCCUGUUGCUUUAACUGGGAAUGGUUUCUGAUCUUCUUCAUCUUGCUUGUGUUUUCCUUUUUCUGUGAGUUUGGGGAAGCCGAACUGUAGCCUUGUAAGGCUACUUCUAUGUAAGAGUACCCCUUCGUAUUUUGGGGCGGGUUACUGUUUAAUUUUGGUGUGGCAGAUUGAAUAUUCGCUGUCUUUUUCUUUGGUGUGAGCAGGCUGUUAUCACCAGGAUGCUUAGUGUGUUUUUAGGGAGAAGGAGGCAUUGGGUAUGGCCAGCAUUCAGUGCCUGGUCAUUGGGCUCUCAAUAGCAGCAAUGAUCUGCAUGAAGGUGGCAGGAGCUACUCUUAGUUGCAGGGCCCUGCAGAGUGGUAAUAUGCUCUAGGCCGCUCUUCAAGGUGACCAGAGCAUUUGGCAGUAGCAACAGCAGGGUGCGUGAAUUCCCAGGGGAGUGAGAGCAACAACAGCUUGUGUUUGAUUGCAAUGCCCUCCUCUGAGGUGAUUGGAACCCCAGGUGGUGCCUGUUCAAGGACCCCUAUUGAGAGGGGCCAUUACUGUCUCUAGAGUCAGUUAUAACUGCAGUGAUUUGCCCCUGCCACCUGUAUACCAUGAAUGAAGCAACCUGUCUCACUUAGCGCACAUAGGCGGUGCCUUACAGGCUGCUCCUAGUUGCAGGAUCCUGGGAAUUGACAGAGAUUAGGCGUGUGGGUACUGCCCAGACAGUGGCAGCAGCAUGGCAGGUGUGUUCCCAGGGUGUGAGAGCACCAACCAGUGGUGUUUGGUCACAGUGCCCUACUCCGUGGUGCCUUUGAGGUCAAUGGGGCUGCAGAUGGUGUCUGUUCAUGGACCCCUAGUGGUGGUGAGCCACUCCCACCUCUGGAGCCAGAGAUAACUGUUGUGGUUUGCCCCUGCCUUCUGUAAACCAUGCCAGAAGCCCCUCAUCAUUCUUAGCCCCCACAGGAGGUGCUGCACAAGCUGCUUCUAGUUGCAGAUUCCUGGGAAGAGACAGUGAUCAAGCAUCUGGGCACUGCCCAGAGUGUUUGGCAGUGACAACACUGGGGCGGGUGUGCUCCCAGGGUAGCAAGAGAAAAAUCAGAUGGUGAUCUGUCACAUUGUCCUUCUCUGUGGUGCCCUCUGAGGUGGUCAGGGGCUGCAAGUGAUUUUUGUUCAGGUAUCCCCAAUGGUGGUAGGCCACACCCACCUCUGGAAUCAAGAAUAACUGUGGCGGUUUGCCCCCCUCUGCCUGCAGACCAUGCAAGAAGCACCCUUUCCCACUUAGCCCAUGAAGGAGGUGCUACACCAGCUGCUCCUAGUUGUAGGGUCUUGGGAAGGGACAGUGACCAAGUGUCUGGGCGGCCCCCAGAACAUUGGGUAAUGGCGGCUGCAGGGUGGGUGUGUUCCCAGGGGGUGAGAGCAACAUCGUAUGGUGCAUGGUUGCAGUGCCCUGUUUUCUUUUUUGACAACCCCUGAGAUGACUGGGGUCGCAGGUCGGGCCCAUUCACAGGCUCCUGUGGUGGCAAAACACGCCUCCCUCUGGCCUCUGAGAGGAUCACUGCCUCGGUCCAUCCCUGCCACCUGUAGAUUGUGCAAGAGGCACCAUGUCACAGUUUUCCCCCCAAUGCCCUUAGCCCACACAAGAGGUGCCUGGCCCCAGCAGGCUGCACAAGAAGUGCCCACUCUCCCCUAAAUGAGCAAGAGGCUUCUCACCACCAGUAGCCUGUGCCAGAGCCACCCCGCCCUCUGAGAGCCCAGGGGAUGUGUACGCUCCAGUGUAGGGAGUUUCCUAUGGUGGUCCGCCCCUCCUCCUCUCUCCAUCCCCAACAAUGGCACCUUGCCUCUCCUGUGGUCUGGGCCUUCUCCUGGGUUUCCCCUGCCCUGGCGUUCCCCUCCUCAGCCUGUGGCAUACCGUCCCCCCACCCAUGGUGCACUGCUCCUUAGCCCUUCAAACUGUCCCCACACAGCCAGCCCGGUCCUCUCCCCAGGACUGACCUCUUCAGCCUAAGUGUCAGUGCCCAGCCCCCGCCCGAGCAUCUCAGGCUGUGGUGUCCAAGCCAGUGGUUCAGAUGGUCUGUGCAGCUCUCUGUUUUGCUGUUCUCAGUCCAGCUGCUGCGCUUUUCUCGGUGACUCUGAGGUCCCUCCGACUCGGCUGAUCUUUCCGUCAGUCAGUUAGGUGGCUUCCCAGGAUGUGGGUUCCUUUUCUCCUUCACAGCUCCCUCUCGGGGAUGCUAGUCCCAUCUGGAUUCCUUUUCUUUCUCUCUCAUUUUCUUUUGUUCUACCCAGUUAUGUCAAGAGUUUCUUGCCCUUUUUGGAGGUUUAAGUUCUUCAGCCAGCAUUCAGUUGAUGUUCUCUGUGAGUAGUUUUAUAUGUAGAUGUGUUUUUUUGAUGUGUUUGUGGGAGAAGGUAAGUGUGACAUCUUAUUCCUCCACCAUCUUUCUCUGCCACUAUAAUAAAUUUUUUAAAAGAAAUUAAAAAGAGAUUAGAGGGUUUUUCAUAAUAGUAAGGAAAGAGUCUCUUGAUUUGUGUUCUCAGACUCUUGGUUGACUCAUAAGUAAGCUGCAUUGCAGAGACACCAUUUGCAGAAAAGUGAGCAAAAUAAACAUCUAUUCCAAGCAGAAGAAUUUAUACAUUUUAAAAUAUUCUUUCAUAUGAGUAGACACACAAACACUUUCACAUCCUAUAUAAGCACAGAAGAAAUAACAAUUUUCAAAUACAUAUGUUGAGUAGAUGGCAUUAAAAGUAAACAGAGGUAAUUUUAUCAAACAAGAAACCUCAAAAUGAUAGAGACAAGUAGUGGGAAAUUACAGUGUAUUCCCCAAAAUAAUAAUGAUGUUUACUCUGCAUGAUUUGAGCUUUAUAUCCUUUCCAUAAAUUAUCUGGAAGUAAACAGUAAAAGAAGUACCUUUAGAUUUUAGGGUAUAUACCAGUGAUUAGAUAAGAUUGAAGGGAUGAGUCAGUCAUGAGACAUAGCUGAGGCUCAUUGGUUUGUUGGGGAGACAAGUAGAAACUACUAGACUGGGACUCCAUUCACUGCCCCAGCAAGGGCUUUAAAUUCUUUUUUUUUUUUAAUUAUACAAAAGGUGUUGUUGAAUAGGGUAUGGGAUAAAGGCAAGUUUCCCAAGAAUUGAAAAAUGUGAAGCAUCAUGUUGGUCCCUUGGAGAUUACUGUAUUUAUUAUAUAAUGUGUACUGAUUAGAUUAGUAAAGAGAUAUGAGAAGUCACACUAAAGAAACAAAAUGACCCUCCAGGAGAGUAGAUUGAUGAAUACUGGUGUGCAAGACUCAUCCAAAUAUGUACACUUGAUGGACAUAUUUGGAAUUGUAAAUUACUCUUGCGCUCUGUCAUCUGUUAUCUGUGCCCAUCAUUAUCUAUUUUGAUUUACUCUGUAACUUGUCGUACAUGGAGGCAAAAGUACACUGACCAGGCUCCUGACAACAUCUUAUUACCUGUUAUUUUCUCCAUUGGUAUUCUUAUUUGGAUGUGUGGUGGAAUGGAGAGAAAAACCAGUGUGCAUCCUUGGGAGGCUGAAAUAUCCAGUUAUGUUUGCUGAACUGAUGGAGGUCAAUCUACUAAAAGUCCAUUUCCAUAAGGAACAGAGAUCCUUCACAUCAAAAGAGAGACAUGUCAGGCAAACAGCUUGGUACAAGGUUUCAUAGGAAGAGCAUUAUUAUUUGUCUCCAAAAUCUGUCUCCUGGCCCAGGCACUUAAUACUCAUAAUUUGAAUCAUAUAGAAAGGGUUCAUGGCUGUAAUUAAAAACUUCAAGAUCUAGUGUCCUCAGUCUCUCUGAGACAUUGGGACACAAGUGGGACUACUUUGUUACCCUUUCUCAAAGAGUCAUAUAAAGUCUAUUCAUUACAGACCACCAUCAGCUUGGACAGUACAGUGAAGGGAGUAUGCAGAAAUGUGGCAACAGGUGAUGUCAUAUCUGAAUGAAGAUGGCGAUACUGCCAGAGCAUAAAUGAAUAAUAGAGUCAAUGGGAUUGCCACCCAGUCAGGGUCCUUUUCUUACUGCAGCAUUCAGUAAGAAAGGCAUAGUCAACUGGGAAUUGGUUUUCUAGAAUGGAAGCUGAAGGAGGACAUGAUGGAUAGUGCAGUAUGCACCAGAAGCAGCUGUCAGUUAAAGGAGUGGUAAAGUGGAUAUGGCUGCAUGCAGAAAAAGACACAGCAGUGACCAGAGUUUAUUGCUGUGUUCAGCAUAUGGACUGUCAGAGGAGGGUCUGAACAACAGGGAAAGGAAAAUAAAAAUGAGAAUGAGAAUCAGGAGGAGAGGAAGAGGAGGAAAGAAAAUAAAAACUUUGGAAGGAACAUAUAAUUUAACCACUGUUAUUAAUGAUGUCCCCAUUAGGACUUUAAGAGCUGUUUUGAAGAGGCAAACAAAUUCUAAGAAGAGAAAGUACUGAAUACUGUAUAUGAAUCCAUUUGGAAUCUAUAUAGUAUUUGGAGAUAUGCAAAAAAGGAUAAAACCCAAGAAAACAAUUGAAAUGUGGGAAAGCUACAAAAACAAAAUGAUAACUUGACAGAAGUCUGUGUCUGCAGAAUAUCCCCAUGCCCAGAUACCUUUACAGGUACCUUUAUCAACUUUUCAAGAAGAGUUAAUCAUAGUCUUAAUGUGUUCUAAAGAGAAAAGUAUUAAUAAAUAAUGUUUGAGGCUAAUACAAUUUAGUUCAAAAAUAAGGGAAAGGGUUUGAAAAUGGAUUCAUUUUGUCCAUUUGCAGAUUAUUAACUAAAAUGUUAGGUAACUUGUAAAUAGCUAAUACUGUAUUUUAUCACCAUUGAGAAGUUAAAGUUAGUAUUGCAGCAUGAUUCCAUAUCAGAAUAUCUUCCAAUAUAAUUCAUGUUAAUAGACUAAAAUUUUAAAAUCAUAUGACUAUCACUAGAAGUAUAAAACUAAUUUUAUAGAAUUCAAUGAUUUGCAAUAAUAAAAAAGAACUCAUAAAAAUAGAAAUCAAAAGGAACUUUAUUUGGUUAAAAAAAAAUACAUGAAACCCCACUAUACCUGAUGAAGAAAUGUUGAUAUAUUUCCUCAAAGGCUGAGAACAAGUCAAGGUUGACUACAAACACAGCAACUAUGGAAUGUAUAAGUGGAAAUUAAAGCCAAAAAAAAAUAAUUAUAGUGGGACAAUGAAUAAGGAUUUUAAAGAUUGGAAGAAAAGAGAUAAAACUUCCAUUCUUGUAGACAGCAUGGGCUUUACAAAUUGGCCAGUCAACAUAAUCAAAACAUAGGUGAAAUCAACAGAGUUGCAGGAUAUAAAACCAACUUAUAGAAAUAAGUAACAGUGGAGUCAGAGGGGGAUGAGAGUGGGAAGCACUGUCUCCCCAUCUAGACAAGUGCAAUGGCAGAAUCUGUCAGAUCUAAUUUAGAACUCUGAAGUCAAUUAGAGACUUGUAACUUCCAGGAAAAAGAUUCAACUGCAAUAAUUUUGGUUGAUUUUAAGUAAGAUAAUUUUGAAAAUGAAGAGCGUGGAUGGUGAGGGUGGCUUGCCCUGUAGGAUUAAGACAUGUUACAGAAACAUAGAAAGAUGCAUUUACAUAAAAAUAAAGAGGUACUAUCAUAAGACUAAGCAAAUAGAACAGCCUCAGAGAGAAAAAUUGAAGCCAUAAAAGUAGAAUCCUGUCUAUAUAAAAACUUUAAAUAGGAGUUCCUGUUGUGGCGGGGUGGUUAACGAAUCCGACUAGGAACCAUGAGAUUGCGGGUUUGGUCCCUGCCCUUGCUCAGUGGGUUGACGAUGUGGCCUUGCCAUGAGCUGUGGUGUAGGUCGCAGAUGCGGCUCGGAUCCCGCGUUGCUGUGGCUCUGGCAUAGGCCAGAGGCUACAGCUCCAGUUUGACCCCUAGCCUGGGAACCUCCAUAUGC